AGUGACGAUAGCCUAGGAGAUACACCUGUACCCAUGCCGAACACAGAAGUUAAGCCCUAGAACGCCGGAAGUAGUUGGGGGUUGCCCCCUGUGAGA
rnacentral:rRNA from 1 species